rnacentral:rRNA from 1 species
AUUGAACGCUGGCGGCGUGCUUAACACAUGCAAGUCGAACGGAUCACCUUUGCUUCGGUUUUGGUGGUUAGCGGCGAACGGGUGAGUAACACGUGAGCAACCUGCCCUUCACUGGGGGAUAACUGUGGGAAACUUCAGCUAAUACCGCAUGUACACCUUUCAUCGCAUGGUGGUUGGUGGAAGGUUUUUUCGGUGGGGGAUGGGCUCGCGGCCUAUCAGCGUGUUGGUGGGGUAACGGCUCACCAAGGCAAUGACGGGUAGCUGGUCUGAGAGGAUGGUCAGCCACGCUGGGACUGAGACACGGCCCAGACGCCUACGGGAGGCGGCAGUGAGGAAUUUUGGGCAAUGGGCGAAAGCCUGACCCAGCGACGCCGCGUGGAGGAUGAAGGCCUUCGGGUCGUAAACUCCUGUUCUGGGGGAAGAAAACGGGAUGCGUGAAUAAUUCAUCCCGCUGACGGUACCCCAGGAGAAAGCUCCGGCUAAUUACGUGCCAGCCGCCGCGGUAAGAC